rnacentral:rRNA from 1 species
AAGCGGUGGAGCAUGUGGUUUAAUUCGAUGAUACGCGAGGAACCUUACCUGGGCUCAAAUGUAUGUUGACGUAUUCUGAAAGGGAUACUUCUUCGGACAAUAUACAAGGUGCUGCAUGGUUGUCGUCAGCUCGUGCCGUGAGGUGUCGGGUUAAGUCCCAUAACGAGCGCAACCCCUAUCAUUAGUUGCCAUCAGGUCAAGCUGGGGACUCUAAUGAAACUGCCUACGCAAGUAGUGAGGAAGGCGGGGAUGACGUCAAAUCAGCACGGCCCUUACGUCCAGGGCUACACACGUGCUACAAUGGCCGAUACAGAGGGCAGCUACCUGGUGACAGGAUGCAAAUCUCCAAAGUCGGUCUCAGUUCGGAUCGGAGUCUGCAACCCGACUCCGUGAAGUUGGAUUCGCUAGUAAUCGCGCAUCAGCCAUGGCGCGGUGAAUACGUUCCCGGGCCUU